rnacentral:lncRNA from 1 species
CUUGAACCCGGACGCUCGCAGCGGCUACCUCGGGGCGGGGAGGGCGGCGGGAAAAUCCUUCCUCUGGGAGAGCCUUCCCGGCGCGUGACUGGGGGACGGGAGUCGCAGGCUGAGCAGCUGCCGAGUUUUUUGUGAGGGCGAGGGAACCAGACGUCCACGUUGUGAUUCUGCGCGCAGAAGGGUCAUCGGAGUCCGGGGGUGUCGCCGCGGCCCCCCCGCCCCUCAGAGGGUGUGGGAAUGGGUGUGGUGGCAGGGCGGGGGUCUGCACCGCCACGCGCGACCCCGAUCGCGAAAACGUGAGGCGGCAAAGCGCCUCUGGCAGAAGCCGCCCGCCGUAGCUGGGAAAGCCGGAGGUUGCAAAUCUGCGUCUACGCGGCGGCUUCUCCACCUCGGCACCACUGGCAUUUGGGCGGGAUCGCUCUGUCUUCGGGGCGGGUCCCCCGAUCUGUCGGAAGUUGAGCGGCAUCUCUGGCCUCCGAAGCGCCCCCUCCCCCAAUCUGCAGUCAUUGCCGCCGUCCCUUGUGGGGGCACAGUCCCCCCGCCCCCCCACCGGCAGAGAACCCCGUGAUUGAAAGACCCUUCUACCCGCCUCUGCCUUGAGAUUCUGUAAAACUGAGAUGCUCAUUCUCUUAACCAAACACGUCACAGAGGAGGAAACGGAGGCCCAAGGUCACCUAGACUUCGGGGUUAAGCCCAGAACCGCAGAUGUCAAGUUUAAGGGCGCCCCUCCUCCCUCCACCCUGUUUAUUGCCUUGGUAAUUGCUCCCCUCUCUCUGGGAGCUCUGUUGGAAAUGCUCUUGUGAGACGGGAUGGAAAGGCAAGCUCGGCGGCCUCGGGAGAAAUCUUUUUUUUCCCACUGUUACAGGAAGACCUAGAUUUAAAACAGGAGGAAGACAGCUGAUGAGAACCACAUGUGUGCCUUGGAGCUGCCCGACACCUGUUAGUCUUGUAUUUGUUGUGCUUCUGGGAAAUAUUUUCAUUUGCAAAAACGGCUGCUUCUGCACGUGGCUAUGGUUGCGUGCUUCUGCACAUGUGAAAAGUUUUACAUCACACUUGGAGGAGAAAAGAAACACGGGCAAAACACUUGUCAUUUACUGCUCCCAACCUCGCCCCUCCCAGAAUGCGGUGCAUUGUGUACAUGGUGUACAUGGUCCAAGUUGGAAACUGGCCCAUUCGGAGAUAAUUCUCUCAUUUCUGAUAAGCAAAAUAAGCAAAGCCUUCCUCAGGCAUAUUCUGGUCUUGCCUCUCUCUUAAUUUCUAACUCGGAUGUACAGUAUCUUUUUUUUUUUUUAAUAAAGUAUUACAUAGGAGGCAAUUUAUUUUGCAUGGGUCAGGUUAUUUUAAGAAACAUUUGGGCCGGACGUGGUGGCUCAAGCCUGUAAUCCCAGCACUUCAGCAGGCGGAGGUGGGCGAUCACUUGAGCUCAGGAGUUCGAGACUAGCCUGGCCAACAUGGUGAAACCCCAUCUCUACUAAAAAUACAAAAAUUAGCCGGGCAUGCUGGCGCGCACUUGUAAUCCUGGCUACUAGAGGGGGCUGAGGCAGAAGAAUUGCUUGAACCCGGGAGGCGGAGGUUGCAGUGAGCCAAGAUCACACCACUGCACUCCAGCCUGGGCAACAGACUCUGUCUCAAACAAAAUGUGGGGCCAGCCACGGUGGCUCAUGCCUGGUAGCUCAUGCCUGUAAUCCCAGCACUUUGGGAAGCCGAGGUGGGCAGAUCACUUGCGGUCAGGAGUUCGAGACCUGCGUGGCCAAAAUAGUGAAACCCCUUCUCUACUGAAAAAACAAAAAUUAGCCGGGCAUGGUGGCACACACCUGUAAUCCCAGCUACUCAGAAGGCUGAGGCACGAGAAUUGUUUGAACCCAGAAGGCAGAGGCUGCAGUGAGCUGAGAUCACGCCACUGUACUCCAACCUGGGUGACAGAGCAAGACUGUCUUGAAAAAUAAACAAACAUCUGGAAAGUACUCAACUUACCCACUUUUUAAAAACUAAGAAGCACUGACAUGACUUGGUUCCUCAAGGGCACU